rnacentral:sRNA from 1 species
CAGUGGUGCUGAAGGGAGUCAGCAGCCGCUGACAGUUGGGGUCACCCUGGCCUGUGCAAGGGACAGGGCUCCCCAUGGCCUCCUGGUUGCCUCCCUCAGGGCUGGUAGCAGCACUCCCUGGCCACAUGCCAUGGCACUCCCUCAGGCGAGACUGAGAGGCCAGUGAGGCCUGCAUGCUGGCCUCAGCUUCUGGGGUGCCCUUGCUGGGUGGUCCCCUCAGGCCCCCGGCCCUCUCCCACAGCCGUCAAAUCUGGCCAGCGCCCUCGAACCUGGUGAUGCUGAGACACGGGUCAAGUGUCAGCUCAAGAUGUCGGGUCGGGCUUUGUGGACAGAAUUGGACUCGGCACAGAAGAGGAGGGCGUCAGAGAGCGUUUCGGGGACGGUUGGCAGCAGAGGGUGCUGCCCUGCUCUCCGCGGGUGAGAGGUGACUCGAGAGUGCAGGAGCCCCUUGGAGGUGAAGCCACAGGUGGCAUCCCAGAAUCGGCAGGAGACUGAGACGUAGACCCUUGCGUGCCGCUGUUGGAGGAGAGACCCGAAGACUACUUGAGACUGUUGCUUGAAAGCAGUGUCGGCAGCACCUGGACUUGGACUUGUGACACUGAUGGAUUUCAGCUCUAAAGAGAAACGCCUGUCUAUUCCCAGACAGAGAGAAAGAGCAGAAGAGCAGAUUACCCACAAAGGACAGACUUAGGUCUGAGUUCACUGACACCAUCCUGUCCGUGCACCCCUCCGACGUGCUGGACAUGCCCGUGGACCCAAACGAACCCACGUACUGCCUGUGCCACCAGGUCUCCUAUGGGGAGAUGAUCGGCUGUGACAAUCCAGACUGUCCAAUUGAGUGGUUUCACUUUGCCUGCGUGGACCUUACCACGAAACCCAAAGGAAAAUGAUUUCAUUUAAAUAAAAACCUGUAGUCUGGGCAACAUCGGGAGACCCCAACUCUACAAAAAAUACAAAAAUUAGCUGGGCGUGGUGGUGCGUGCCUGUGGUCCCAACUACCUGGGAGGCGGAGGCGGGAGGAUGGCUUGAGCCUGGAAGUCCGAGGCUUCAGUGAGCUGAGAUCGCGCCACUGCACUCCAGCCUGGGCGAGAGAGCAAGACCCUGUCUCAAAUAAAUAAAUAAAAAGAUAAAAACCUG